CCUACGUGAGGCUGCAGUGGGGAAUAUUGGACAAUGGGCGCAAGCCUGACUCAGCAACGCCGCGUGAAGGAAGAAGGCGUUCGGGUUGUAAACUUCUUUUGACAGGGAAGAGUAGAAGACGGUACCUGUCGAAUAAGCCACGGCUAACUACGUGCCAGCAGCCGCGGUAAGACGUAGGUGGCAAGCGUUGUCCGGAUUUAAUGGGUUUAAAGGGCGUGUAGCCGGGUUGACUAGUCAGAUGUGAAAUCCUGCGGCUUAACCGCAGAACUGCAUUUGAAACUGUUGAUCUUGAGUACUGGAGAGGCAGACGGAAUUCCUAGUGUAGCGGUGAAAUGCGUAGAUAGUAGGAGGAACACCAGUGGCGAAGGCGGUCUGCUGGACAGCAACGGACGGUGAGGCGCGAAAGCGUGGGGAGCAAACAGGAUUAGAUACCCUGGUAGUC
rnacentral:rRNA from 1 species